AAUUUAAUCUUGGAUCCAGGACGAACGCUGGGCGGCGUUCUUUACACAUGCAAGUGGAACGGAAAGGCCCCAGCUUGCUGGGGUACUCGAGUGGCGAACGGGUGAGUAACACGUGGGUGAUCUUCCCUGCACUUCGGGAUAAGCCUGGGAAACUGGGUCUAAUACCGGAUAGGACCCUCCUUUAGUGUGGGGGGUGGAAAGAUUUUUCGGUGUGGGAUGAGCCCGCGGCCUAUCAGCUUGUUGGUGGGGUAGUGGCCUACCAAGGCGUCGACGGGUAGCCGGCCUGAGAGGGUGGACGGCCACAUUGGGACUGAGAUACGGCCCAGACUCUUACGGGAGGCAGCAGUGGGGAAUAUUGCACAAUGGGCGGAAGCCUGAUGCAGCGACGCCGCGUGGGGGAUGACGGCUUUCGGGUUGUAAACCUCUUUCGACAGGGACGAAGCUUUGUAGGUGACGGUACCUGUAUAAGAAGCACCGGCUAACUACGUGCCAGCAGCCGCGGUAAUACGUAGGGUGCGAGCGUUGUCCGGAAUUACUGGGCGUAAAGAGCUCGUAGGUGGUUUGUCGCGUCGUCUGUGAAAUUCCGGGGCUUAACUUCGGGCGUGCAGGCGAUACGGGCAAUACUUGAGUGCUGUAGGGGGAGACUGGAAUUUCCUGGUGUAGCGGUGAAAUGCGCAGAUAUCAGGAGGAAACACCGAUGGCGAAGGCCGGUUUCUGGGCCAUAAAUGACGGGAGGAGGGAAGCCAUGGUAGCGAACCAGGAUUAGAUCCCCUGUUAGUCCAUCCGGUAAACGGUGGGCGCUAGAGUGUAGGGGUCUUCCACGACUUCUGUGCUGUAGCUAAC
rnacentral:rRNA from 1 species